UACAGAGGGUGCGAGCGUUGUCCGGAAUCACUGGGCGUAAAGGGCGCGUAGGUGGCUUGGUAAGCGUGUGGUGAAAGUCCGGGGCUCAACCCCGAAUCUGCCGUGCGAACUGCCGAGCUCGAGCAUUGUAGAGGCAGGUGGAAUUUCGGGUGUAGCGGUGGAAUGCGUAGAGAUCCGAAAGAGCACCGGUGGCGAAGGCGGCCUGCUGGGCAAUUGCUGACACUGAGGCGCGACAGCGUGGGGAGCAAACAGG
rnacentral:rRNA from 1 species